AAUGAACGCUGGCGGCGUGCUUAACACAUGCAAGUCGUACGAGAAACCCCGGCUUGCCGGGGGAGUAAAGUGGCGCACGGGUGAGUAACGCGUGGGUAAUCUACCCUCGAAUUGGGGAUAACACACCGAAAGGUGUGCUAAUACCGAAUAAGACCACGACCUCCACGGGGGUUGCGGUCAAAGAUGGCCUCUGCCUGCCAGCUGUCGUUUGAGGAUGAUCCACCGUACCAUUAGCUUGUUGGUGGGGUAAUGGCCUACCAAGGCAACGAUGGUUAGCUGGUCUGAGAGGAUGGCCAGCCACACUGGAACUGGAACACGGUCCAGACUCCUACGGGAGGCAGCAGUGAGGAAUUUUGCGCAAUGGGGGAAACCCUGACGCAGCAACGCCGCGUGAGUGAAGAAGGUCUUCGGGUUGUAAAGCUCUGUCAAGUGGGAAGAACCUUUUUCGGCCGAAUACGCCGAGAAACUGACGGUACCGCUGAAGGAAGCACCGGCUAACUCCGUGCCAGCAGCCGCCGUAA
rnacentral:rRNA from 1 species